rnacentral:rRNA from 1 species
AUGAACGCUGGCGGCGUGCCUAAUCCAUGCAAGUCGAGCGAACAGACGAGGAGCUUGCUCCUCUGACGUUAGCGGCGGCCGGGUGAGUAACACGUGGAUAACCUACCUAUAAGACUGGGAUAACUUCGGGAGACCGGAGCUAAUACCGGAUAAUAUAUUUAACCGCAUGGUUCAAUAGUGAAAGACGGUUUUGCUGUCACUUAUAGAUGGAUCCGCGCCGCAUUAGCUAGUUGGUAAGGUAACGGCUUACCAAGGCAACGAUGCGUAGCCGACCUGAGAGGGUGAUCGGCCACACUAGAACUGGGACACGGUCCAGACGCCUACGAGAGGCAGCAGUAGGGAAUCUGCCGCAAUGGGCGAAAGCCUGACGGAGCAACGCCGCGUGAGUGAUGAAGGUCUUCGGAUCGUAAAACUCUGUUAUUAGGGAAGAACAAAUGUGUAAGUAACUAUGCACGUCUUGACGGUACCUAAUCAGAAAGCCACGGCUAACUACGUG